UUGUUAAAAUCAAUCAAUUUCAGUAAUAAUGUUUGAUAUUACAAAAAUUAAGCCAACAGUUAUUCGUUAAAACAAACAGAAAUUAUAACUUAAUCAAAUUUUGUAAAAUGUAUUCGCUAUUAUUUAAUAAAAUAACUGAUUUAUUUUCUACGAAGACUUAAAAUUUUAACUUGUUUAGCUGAAUUGCAAAUGUCGCUGAUAUUCCAUACAUUUCAUACAAAUCUGCGUUCAUUGCUAUUCAUUUGCCAUACGCCAAAAAAAUAUACAUGACCAUAAAAGAAUGUAAAUUACGUGAGCGACAAAACGCGAGAGGAAGAUAGAGCAGGGAUGGAAAAUAUUACAGAACUCAAUUGUCAACCGAUUUGAUUAAAAAUAUGUAUAUAAAAUUUUUGGCCCAAUGGGCUGGUUUUGAAUUUAAAUAAAUAAAAAAAAAAAAAAAAUUUUUUCAUUGAACAUAUUUAUAUUGUUACUUUAUAAUGUAGAAUAUUACAUUUGAUGUUAAGUCUAACAGCGCCUACAAUACACUGACUAAAUUUGUCUGUUACUAUUUACUAUAUACACAUUGUCAUCUUCUAGUAGUUUCAUUAAUUAUCUAUCUAACUGACAAAACUAUAAUGUUCUAUUUCUAGAGCUUUUAGCAGCUAUGUUAAGGUUAGCAGCGUUAACAGUUAAUGUUGUGUCCAAACUACCUUUGAACACUUUAUUAUAAAUUAUGAAAUAAUUUAUAAAUGUUGUAUUUUAUUGAUUUUAUAUAUAUUUUUUAAAUGCACUUAUAAUUAACUAUUGAAUUGUAACUGAAUUUUGCUAAGUGCAUUUGUAUAACAAUAAUAUUUUUGUAUUGUAAAAGAUUAAUCUAGUGAAUUUAGUACUCGCUAUAGAUUCGUGAAUUGUCGGUUAAAUUCAGCCUCAGGUUCUUGAACACACCGAGGUUUCAUGUAAUUAUAUUUUAACUUUUUAAAACACUUUCUUGUGAGCACUCACUUGUGUGCACUUACUUGUGAACACCCAUUUUUUAUACAUACUUCUAUGAAGUCAACCUAUACUUUAUUACCAUUUUGUGAAGUACAAUAAAAUCAAACACAUAAUUUGUAACCUGAAAUUGAAGAAUCUUAUUAAAAGUAAUUAUAAUUAAAGCUAAUUUUCCCAUAGCCCUUUGGUCAUCAAACAACUCAUUUUUUACCAUCAUCAUAAUAAACAAAACCCAAUCAGUUUUGUUCAUGGUCCAGUCGAACCGUCAAAUUGUUUAAGUGACUCUUGGAAAAAAAUUAAACAAUUGUCUCUUGGAGAAAAUAAAAACAAUUGUCUCUUGAAGAAAACAAAAUUCACCACAAUAGAAAAACAAUGAGGUAAUGUACAAAACGAAGAUUUAAGGGCUCAUCAGUUACAAAUCAAACAUCAAGCAGCCAAAUCGAAGAUUAGAAACCACUCGCCCAAGCCAGCAACAAAGCACCAGGGAAACCUACCGAAGACGUGUGAUACUAAGAGAAUCACAGAUCUACAAAUGCGUAUUAUGCAAGAAGUACCAUGCAUUAAGAUUUUGUGUGAAAUUUUUGAAGAUGUCAUUACAACAGCGCCUAAAUGUGGUCAAAAGACACCACUACUGCCACAAUUGUCUGGCAAGAAGCCAUAUUUUACGGUCAUGCACGUCAAAGGAUACGUGCCGAAAAUGUAAGAAACUCCACCACACCUUGCUUCACCCUACACCACAAAACCAGCGACGCAAUUCCACCAGCCACAACAAUCAGCGUCAUCAACCACCAAUAACAUCAACAACCAGACAACCAUCAUCACAGCUUUUAGCAACGCCAGAUGCCAAAAUUAUCGUAAAAGCUAUAAAGUCUUUGGCUCAGGUCCUCUCAGCUUAAUUAUUUGUUGCAAUACUGCAAGGACGGCGCCAUGUCCAAACUACCUUUGAACACUUUAUUAUAAAUUAUGAAAUAAUUUAUAAAUGUUGUAUUUUAUUGAUUUUAUAUAUAUUUUUUAAAUGCACUUAUAAUUAACUAUUGAAUUGUAACUGAAUUUUGCUAAGUGCAUUUGUAUAACAAUAAUAUUUUUGUAUUGUAAAAGAUUAAUCUAGUGAAUUUAGUACUCGCUAUAGAUUCGUGAAUUGUCGGUUAAAUUCAGCCUCAGGUUCUUGAACACACCGAGGUUUCAUGUAAUUAUAUUUUAACUUUUUAAAACACUUUCUUGUGAGCACUCACUUGUGUGCACUUACUUGUGAACACCCAUUUUUUAUACAUACUUCUAUGAAGUCAACCUAUACUUUAUUACCAUUUUGUGAAGUACAAUAAAAUCAAACACAUAAUUUGUAACCUGAAAUUGAAGAAUCUUAUUAAAAGUAAUUAUAAUUAAAGCUAAUUUUCCCAUAGCCCUUUGGUCAUCAAACAACUCAUUUUUUACCAUCAUCAUAAUAAACAAAACCCAAUCAGUUUUGUUCAGUUGUUAUACUUACAAUGUUCAUAAUAUUAACAACAUUGUUGAUAAUUUGAAAUUUCGAGCACUGGAAAUGUUUAUAAACAUGCUGAAUGUUACAAGCACACAUUACAGACUGUUAAAUUCAAAUUUUAAUGCAACUUCAACCUCUUUCGGAGGCAUAUUUUCUUAGAUACUUUACAUCGUUUAAAACGGAUCCAUAUACCAGAAAUAUAAUAGGUAUACAAAUUAUGACAAACGACUUUAUUUUUUCUAUACCUACUUUGGGUUGUCAUACUCAUUAUAUUUUUAUUCCUAUCCAUUAUUCUUUCAAAUACCUAUAUAAAUAUUAUGAAUUAUUUAAAACAACUGGUACAUCCCUGACAUCUUAGUAUAGAACAGAAGCAAACAGUAAAGAAAAUAUGAAAAAAAGUACAAUAUAAAAAUAGAUACCUAUAAACAAAAAAUAAUAAUAAAUUAAUGUAAAAAAAUUUAUGCUAAUCGAAUAAAUGAUUUGCGAAUAAGGUGAUAAUUUUGCGUAUAUUUCGGAAUAUGUAUCAUAAAUAGCUAUACAAUAAUAGAAAUUCGAGUGAAAAUAAUCAAAAUUAUUGUGGAAACAAUAAAUUGAUACCAUUAUUAUAUUAUAAAGCUCUAACUAUUGUAUCAAUAUCUAGGUAUAUGAAAUCGUAGGUUUUGAAUAGUUAAAUUACACUAGUUUACAAGUUUUUUGUUCAUGAUUCGAAACUCGGGAAAAAUAUUGAAAAAAAAUCCAGGACGCCAAACUUUUGAGAUAUUUAAUAAGAAAAUAUUAAAAAUAAAAUUUAAAUUACAACAAAAAAUUAAAAAUGAAAAAAAAAUCGAGUUUUAUCUUGA